UAUGUGAUCGUCUCUCGCAUAUCAAUAAGCGGAGGAAAAGAAACUAACAAGGAUUCCCCUAGUAACGGCGAGUGAAGCGGGAAGAGCUCAAAUUUGAAAUCUUAAAGGGUUUCCCUUUACGAAUUGUAGUUUAAAGAAGUGUUUUCUGUUGAGGUUUUGGUAAAAGUUCUUUGGAAUAGGACAUCAUAGAGGGUGAGAAUCCCGUAUUUGACCUUUACUUUCAACUUUGUGAUACACUUUCAAAGAGUCGGAUUGUUUGGGGAAUGCAGGUCCAAAAUGGGUGGUAAAUUUCAUCUAAAGCUAAAUAUUGGCGAGAGACCGAUAGCGAACAAGUACCGUGAGGGAAAGAUGAAAAGAACUUUGAAAAGAGAGUUAAACAGUACGUGAAAUUGUCAAAAGGGAAGCGUUUGACACCAGUGUUGUUUUUCUGAAAAUCAAUUAAAGAACUGUUUAUGCUAAGCUGUUUAGACUUUAUCAGCUAUACUGUUUAGUUUUAGGCUUUUCUUUAAUGCACUUUUCAGUUAACAAGUCAACAUCAAUUUCUUUUGCUGUAAAAAAGCUUGAGGAAGGUGGCUUGAGAUUCGUCUUAAGUGUUUAUAGCCUCUUGCCUAUGCAGUCGGAGAGAUUGAGGUCUGCAGCGUAGAUCCUUCGGGGCUAAAUGCAUUUGUGCUAAGUUAUAGCAUUUUAUAGACAACUUGUUGACUAUGAUUUGUCUUGUAGCUUACUCGCUUAUGUUAUUUUACCUACGCUUAGGAUGUUGAUCUACAGAGCGAGAGU
rnacentral:rRNA from 1 species